AUGGUGCAUCGUGGGCUCAAAGAGGAUGUACAACCCAGUUCAAUAGGCGUGAUUUGGAAGAUUCAAUUAAAUGCUGCAGUGAAAGCUUCAGAUCACGCAGGCUUGGGGCUCUUAAUCUACACAUUAUCUUCUACAAAUUCGAAGCGAGAAAAGCGAAGCAGAUGGCCAAGAAAUCUAGAGACCCUUGAUAAGGCUCUUAUACAGUUAUGCGUGUGCGGUCGUUGGGAGCGAGAGUGCCAUUAUGAUUGA